GAAUCUGCAAAACAACAAAGCACAGAUAAAAAUCACCAAGAGUUUUGUUUAUGGUAGGGAGUGUCUAGCAACCGAGUCUUCAGAGUACCUUAUCAAAUAUCGAUGUCUCUCGCCCCUAAUCAUAACUAACACACCGCUAAUGUGAAUCUCGGGUGUUAAUUGCCCCUGGCGAAACGUUAUCGAUAGCCAUUGGGGAGAGUUUGGCCAGUAGAAUCAUUCGGGAUGAUGUGUGUAACUGUCUUAUUUAAAAAGAAACGCAUUUUUCGGUCGAGAUUUUAAAAAGUAGAGAAUAUAUAAAGGUAGAGGGGACGACGUAUAACAGGUCCAACACCAGGAUGGUGGUGUAUAACAACGAAGACAGGAAAUUAAAACAUCGCGUCAUAAAAAACAACAAUACAGACUGUUUUAAAGUGGUUAUGCAAACCUCAUAUCAGAGUUCAAGAUCAAAACAAUGUGCGGCAUUCGAUUUUGCGAACCGAAUCUCAAAAACGAAUAAAUGCUGCCCAAAUUUGUUUUGUUUUCAUUUCUUCACAACGAUACCAAAGCAGGAAUUAAAGUAGUAUUUAAAUCAGAUACCUUGUCGGCAAGACACUCAGUUCAUCGGCAAAAAGCAGCUUAGUGGUUGCAUGCGCGACUAAAGACCCUCACCUUAUAAAGGACAAAAAAAAUAAAAAAAAUAAAAAUAAAACGCUGGGUUGUAACCGCACAAAGCACUAAUUUUACUUUAUUCAUCCGGGCAUAAGCCGUGUCCCAAUUUUCAAUUAGUUAUCUGGUAAUUAUGUUGCUUGAUGAAGAAGAAACCCGUAGAGAAGUAGAAAACGUAUUUACAAACACAUCUUUUCCAAUUAUGCCCUUCCUCGAUCAAUGAAAGCCACAAAUAUAUGUUCAUGCUAACCCUCGCUUGUUCUAAUAAUGCUAAUGUGCUCCAUUAUUUGAUAAAUAUGGAGCAUUGCGGAUUACGACACAUGUAUUUUUAUCAGCAAUCCUGUUUAAAAAAUAGAAAAAUUUCGAAAACUUCACAAAAUAUUAGAAUUUAAUCCUGUAUUCGGUGAAUAAAAUAUAUUAAAUAUUUUUACUAGAUGACGUUUUUCCAAUUCCUGAUUCGAUUAACGAGCUUUUGUCGGCCGCUUUGCAGUUCGACAAACGGGGACAAGUAAUUUAUUUGAAAAGACAAGAAAAAUUAUAAUAUACUUUCAAUGUAGAUGUCUACCAGGGAUGGUUAUAUGUAUAAGACAGGAAAAUCGAUUAUAGCGACAUAAAAAUAAACAAUACAGACUGUUUUAAAGGGGGACUGCAAACAGGGCUUACAUUACAGGGCCUAUCUUAGAUUUCUAGAAGAAUAAAAUAGUUACGCUUAUUUUACGUUUUUUUUUUCGCGCGCGAUGAUCAUUCGCUUAUGCGGCGAGACAAUGACUUUUUAAAAAAAUACAACAAUAAGAAUUGAUGCAGCAGGAAAAGGAGUUGCGUUAAAAUGUGGAUCCUUGUUGGCUAUAGGCUCAGCGCACUGGAAAGUAAUUGUUGCGGUUCGUGUCAGAAAUUAAAGCCGGGGGAAUACGAGCAGCAAAACCGCACAACUUUUGUGGCAGCAUUUUGCGCGUCUUGUCUACCGGCGAACCAACUUUUGUCACAGCAAAGGAUAGACUGGUUCUUGCUGAUGGCCCACCAUCUUUUUUCUCCGUGACACUGAUGUGCGACUUUCGUUCAACCAAUCACAAACGCUAAUGCAACUGCUUGCGUAUGCCUGACGUCACUUUGCUGCGAGACAAGUUGGGUUGAUGUGGUAAUAAGUUUUGUUGCAAAAAGUAGAACCAUUUUCGGUUUUGCUGCCCGUAUUUCCCCGGCUUUGAUACACGCGCGAAUGGCAAAAAAAAAAAAAAAGCCAUUCACUUAUCGAUAAAGGAUAAUGGGAAUGCUCGUUUGCUAACCGCACACAGAACAUAAAACGUCCCGAUUCUCAAUUGGUUUUCCGGUUAUAAUGAGUCGUUAAAGAAAAGUGGCGCGAGAGCCAGCAGAUGUAAAACAGGAUAAAGAAAAAAAAAUUGUAGAAAACGUAAAUAAUUACACACCCAUUCCAAUUAUGGUGGCCCUCUCCCCGAUCUACUUAAGCCACAAAAUAUGAAUCCUACUAAUACAAACUCUCGCUUGUUUUAAUAAUGCUACUUUGCUCGUUUAUUCGGUAGGACUGGAUUUCGUAACACGAAUUCUUGCAACAGAGAUUUGUCAAAGAAAAAAAAGGGAAGCAAAAUAGAAAAUGUUAAAAAAACAUAUGUUAAACAUCGAUUCUGAGUUUAGAGUAUAAUAGAUUUUAAGGAUAGAUAGAUUGUAAAAAGAGGCCUAUAUGGAUAUUAAACAGCAAAUGAUAGCCGGGACAAAACAAAAGAGAGGAGAGACCUUUUCCGAUUUCUCCAUACAUACUCGGUUCCUGAAUUAAAUAUUUUUUUUGUUUUUAUUUCAAUUCGCGAUAAAACAAGCUGGGACAGGUAGUUAAUGUAAAUUGAACAAAAAUCAUUUUGAAAAGAAAAAAAAAUAUCGAUUCGAUCUACUCUAGAUCUACAGAAAAAAGAUAACGAACAGUAAAACGAUAACUAACAUAACUAAAAGUUAUGUACUAAUAUCAGUCUGAGCUUAAAAUAUCUACCAUGGAGUGUAACAUCUUUUAAAUUUUUAAAUAAUCGUAAAAGCUUACCAACAAGAGUAGUAGAUCGACCUUUCACAAGGGAUGUGCUGAGAUGAAUGGUGCUUAUGAAUGCUAUGUAGAUAAACACCCGCACAAAAGGCUAAUUUGUAAGACACAGAAGUCACUUAUUACAUAUUCAAAUGCGUGUUGAACUGGAGGCGGUUAGAUGGGACCUUAAGCCAGUAACAAGCAGAAUCAAUCCCGGGUUAGUUUUUCUCUAAAGCGAAUCAGACAGACCGAAGGUCUCAUCAACCAGAUGUAAUGAGCAACACCAGCCGCAAAAGUGAAAUGAUAUAUAAGAUAAGUGAUGAAGCAAAAAUAAAAUUAUAUAUAAGAUAAGUGAUCAAAGGCUAGGCUUCAUAAUCUUAUUUCAUUUCCUCAGAAAAGUGAAAGUGUGAGAAUUAAGAGACAAAACAAUUGUUUCAGUUCCUAAUCAACCUACAUCACCACUCGCAUGCGCCUUUGACUGUGGUGUUACCGGGUUCAACUCACUGCGUCCUCCCUUCACGAAAACAGAUAUUUUAUCUAUCAAAGAAGGCGACGAAAAAAUGAUUUAGACAAAAACUGGUAGCUCUGCAUGCAUUUGUUUCACAGAAGUCAGAAUUAAUGUUGAAGUUCAAGAAGACACCACGUACCAUGACCACGAACUGUACAUAACAUGGCUUGUGUCCGCGUGGGAGGAAGGCGGUCCACAUCAGCAGCACAACAACAAAAGCAACAAACUAACUAGUCCUAGAUAGGUGUUAGCGAUUACCAAUUUGGCAAAUCCCUUUAGGCCCUGUCACACGUAUAUUUUAUCUCACUUCUACUUUCCGCAACAAAUGUCUUCAAGUCGCAGAAAACCAUUCAUGUGUGACAUGGCCCGUGCGACUAGCAAGCAUAUUUUGCGAGACAAGUUGCAGCCGAAAAGUGUACGUGUGACAGGGGCUUUACGGCAAGUUUUAUUCAAAUUCCAUCACAAUGUCUCGACUUUUCGACUCAUUCGCCCAUUACAGUCGCCACUGGGCGCAGGCAAAUGGAAAGCGAAUUAUGAGCAGGUGCUUAGAAUGAUCGUAACAAAAAGGUUGCGUUUUCAAAUGAAAACGGAUACGUGGGGACGGGGUCUAAUAACUAUUUUAUCCCUUGAAAUAUCGAUUUAAUUCCUUUAAAAAAUUAGCCAUAAGCGGAUUUUGGGUCUAGAAUUUCAUACUAUAAACGAGGCCUACUUUAAUAGGAAAUUUCAUAAAAAUACGAUGUUUAUAAUAUCUCAAUUAAAAAGUAUUAAGUAAAUAAAAAAUCCAGCCAAAAUGUUUUCUGGGUGUUUCGAGGAAAGAGCUUUAGUCUAGUUAGUUAGAUGUCUUUCCUAUUUUUAGUGUCAAAUUGUAAGUAAAAAAUCUAAAUCUCAUUCGUUAAAUCCUUAAUUUAAAUUCUUAAUUUUGUCUAAAAUUGUAAUUAAUCUAUAAAGAUGCCCUUUUUUAACUCGAUAGAGCUAUUAUUCCGAUAUCUCAGCGUUAUUCCGAUAUCUCGUGGAAAUGAUCAAAGCUACUACCCCUACUAUCCCAUCAUAAUCCAGAAAACUUUCAAAAAAUAAGUUAUUCUUGUAUAUCCCCUUUUUUAAUAUCUAAAUCUUAUGGGGUUCAUGCUGUAAGCGUCUGUGUUACAGGGGCAUCAAGCAAGAGUAACUUGGAAAAUUAAGAAAUCGUUUCACAAGAAAAUUGUUUCUCAAACACACCAGGGGCAGGUUCCUGAAAGGCCGAUUAACUUAACUCUAGAUCAGCGCCUAAUCCCGGGUUAAAAUUCGCUAAUCGUAGGUUAGCUCACCUACGGAUAACUCGCCGUUCCCGAAAGCCAAGUAAUCCCUCGAUUUACUAAACCCUGGAUUAAGCGAGUAAAAAACUGGUUUGACGAGUAAAACUUACACAGGAUACCCAGUAGAUCAAUAGAGAGCAACUCAAAUUUAGUAAUUUGGUGCCCGAGAACACCUCUACAUUGCCUGUAAUACCUCCUUUUCAUUGCCUUUUUAUUGACUUUUCAGGAUUCGAGUUGGUGCGUGACACUAGCGAGACAUACAUUUCAAGUAUAAAUUUCAUGUAACUUUCUGUCUGGCCCAGCAUAAUUUUAGAGUCAGCAUCAGUCGCAACGAAGGUAGCAUAACAAAGCCAAAUGUUAGGACAUUUGAUUCCUAUAUUGUUUUUGUCUUUUUAGUCGGCAAAUUUAUUUUACGAAACUUGAGUUCUACUA